UAGCAUAAUAAUUUGUUUUUUAAAUGAAAACUAGUAUGAAUGGCCAUCCAUUUUCUAACUGUCUCUCUAUAUUCUCUUUUAAAUUUCUACCCCCGUGAAGAAGCGGGGAUUUCAAAGUAAGACGAAAAGACCCUGUCGAGCUUAAGCUAAUAAAAGAAAUUUUAUUAUAUUAAUUUAUAUUUAUCUUUUUUAAGCUUUGGUUGGGGCAACCAUGGAGUAAAACUAUCCUCCAGUUAUAAUAAGAUGAAUUUUAUUCUCUUUAUUAAUUUAAUGAACCAAACUAUUUUGGUAAACAGAAAAAGUUACCGCAGGGAUAACAGCGUAAUCUUCUUUGAGAGCCCAUAUUGACAAGAAGGUUUGCGACCUCGAUGUUGGAUUGGGGCAACCAAAAAGCGCAGCCUCUUUUAAAGGUUG
rnacentral:rRNA from 1 species